UUAAACCGAAGAAACAAAAGCUCUCUCUAUCUCUUCGAAUACCCUAACUUUGGGAGCAAAAGAUUUCCGUCACUUAGAAGAUUUCGGGAUUGAAAAUAUAGAUCAAUCGAUAGAGGAGGCAAUUCAGGUAAGUAAUUCCAAAAGGAUCGUCGAUAUUGUCUCCGAGAUGGCAAAGCGGUCCAAGGAGUUUGCCGCCGAGGCCAAAGCCGUUGCUGACCACUGUAUUAGUCCCUUACUGAGCAGAUCCCCUCCAUCACUCUUCUCAAUGCCUCAUCGCCUUUCUCUGAUGAUCCAAUUCCCGUAGAUCUUGAGAUAUUCGGUAUCACCGACAAUCUGAGACAGUUUGCUCGAGGUUUUACGGUCACAGCGUUUCGGAAUUUCCCCAUUCAUGAUGAUUCUAUAGUUUCUGAUGUGCCAACAGUAUUAAAUGAGAGGCGUAGCAGAAACAUGCAUUGAUCCUUGACAAGGACAUUAAUUUCAAAGGAAUUGAUCAUCUUGGCUAUCUUCGUCAAGCAUUUGAAGUUGGAUCCUUCAAUUAUUUUCUUGAAAGUGAGAUACUAAAUGGUUCUGAAUUUGAUGGGCACUGGUGGCUCACUGCAGGUUAAAAAUUCUGGCUUGGAUAGGCACAUUGAAACUAACUUAUGGGUAAUUAUGGCUGUAACUAUUUGCAGUUUGAUAAAAACAUAUCGUUUAGCCACAAUGGUCCAUUAAUGAUGUCAAUGAGCAUUGGUACACUGGCAAAAAUGUUAAAAUGGACAGGCUGGCAUGUUAACCAAAUGUGAAGUUAGGCAACAAUUGCAUUAGACUCCACUAUGGGAGCUGUUUAUUGGGUUGUGAAUUCCUCUUGUUGUCUGCUUCACUACACUUAAUAUGAAAGGUGAUACUCAUUCAUGCUUAAAUUCCAUGCCUUUUGAGAUAGACACUUAAUCCUUUAUUAAAUUGACCAUGGUCUUGCACCUUUUAUGUCAACAAUGAUUGUUUGUUGUUUCUUCAGGUUGCCUGCUUCACUACACUUAAUAUGAAAGGUGAUACUCAUUCAUGCUUAAAUUUAUUGAGGGUUGGUAAACACAAUGUUUAUUUUGUGCUAAAAAAUCUAAAUCUUGUUUUUAACUUUUUAUUAUUUUUAUUUAUUUGAAACUUAAUUAUGAAAGAAGACAUGGGUUUAUUUCUUAAGAACAGUGUAUUUUAACUAUUUAUUUUUUUCGAUUUUUAUUUGCAGGAUAUAUUGCGUUUUCAUGUUAUCUAUUUCUUGACAAAAGUGCAGUUUGAAAAUGAAUGGGACUAAUAAGAGAAACGACUUAUCUUGCCAAUUUAUCAUUUUUUAUUUUUUUUACAGUAUUUUAGUAUAUAAAUUUGUCUUUUAGUUUAAUUUAGUUUA